CACGUAGGCGGUGAAUUAAGUUGAAAGUGAAAUCCCAAAGCUUAACUUUGGAACUGUUUUCAAAACUGAUUCACUGGAGUUCGAUAGGGGAUAGUGGAAUUUCUAGUGUAGAAAUAGAAUUCAUAAAUAUUAGAAGGAACACCAGUGGCGAAGGCGACUAUCUGGAUCGAUACUGACGCUGAGGUGCGAAAGCAUGGGGGAGCAAAACA
rnacentral:rRNA from 1 species